GACAGAGGGUGCAAACGUUGCUCGGAAUCACUGGGCGUAAAGGGCGCGUAGGCGGCUUUGUAAGUCAGGAGUGAAAUCCCGGAGCUUAACUCCGGAAUUGCUUUUGAAACUACAAGGCUAGAGUAUGUUAGAGGAUGUCGGAAUUCCUAGUGUAGAAGUGAAAUUCGUAGAUAUUCGGAGGAACACCAGUGGCGAAGGCGGCUCACUGGUCCGGUACUGACGCUGAGGUGCGAAAGCUAGGGUAGCAAACGGG
rnacentral:rRNA from 1 species